rnacentral:rRNA from 1 species
CCUAGGGAGGCUGCAGUGGGGAAUAUUGGACAAUGGGCGAAAGCCUGAUCCAGCCAUGCCGCGUGUGUGAAGAAGGCCUUCGGGUUGUAAAGCACUUUCAGUGGGGAAGAAAGCCUUGGGGCUAAUACCCUCGAGGAAGGACAUCACCCACAGAAGAAGCACCGGCUAACUCCGUGCCAACAGCCGCGGUAAUACGGAGGGUGCGAGCGUUAAUCGGAAUUACUGGGCGUAAAGCGCGCGUAGGCGGUCUGAUAAGCCGGUUGUGAAAGCCCCGGGCUCAACCUGGGAACGGCAUCCGGAACUGUCAGGCUAGAGUGCAGGAGAGGAAGGUAGAAUUCCCGGUGUAGCGGUGAAAUGCGUAGAGAUCGGGAGGAAUACCAGUGGCGAAGGCGGCCUUCUGGACUGACACUGACGCUGAGGUGCGAAAGCGUGGGUAGCAAACAGGAUUAGAUACCCCGGUAGUC